rnacentral:lncRNA from 1 species
UGUUUCCCAGGCACUCAAGCCACGUGCUGCUUUAGCAUACAACAGGGAACAGUCUCUGUCCUAGAGAAUUCAGUCCUCAGCCUUGCCCCUCUGCAAGGCUAUGAGCAGAACUCCAGGCUACUCUCCCUUCCUGUGGUCUCAGGACUGCCAGGGGCAUGGAGUAUGGGGAUCCCCACUUUCCAGCUCUGUUUACAGUGCUUGGAUGACCAUAGUAUGGACAGCUGAAGGGAAUCCAGGGGACUGUGUCUGUAUUUCCUGGAGAUGAUCACUGUUCAGGCAAAGCAUGGGGCACAUGUCGUCAUCAAAUAUGGCUUAGGGCUGGAAAUGUCCACUGAAUUUCAUAGGAAAGAAACCCUUGUGGGAUCCUUGGGGAA